UGUGGUCUCUGGACUUCGGUUGGAUGAUGGAUCCAGCCUUAUCCAUCAUCCAACCGAAGUCCAGAGACCACA